rnacentral:sRNA from 1 species
ACCAGGAACGAUCUCAUCUGAUCUCAAGGUUGGAGUAAUUCAGGGUUCUGGUUCUAUUCAACAAGCUGCUCAACCUAAGAGGUCUAUGCGUGACUCCAUCAAAGAUCCAGAUCCCAGUUUUCCCUUGCCUAUGGGUUGGACAGUCAUGUCUACUAAGGCUAAGAAGAAAGAACUCAAAAAGUGGCAUAAUCGUCUCCGUUCUUCUGAGGCAGGUUCUAUUGAUUUAGCUGCUAGUAAGGACCUUGAAGGUCCUUCUUCUCAUUG